UUUACUGAGAGGACUCUUAAAUGCUAUGCUAACUCUUGAACCUGAGCUGGAGGAUUUAUUUUGGCCUAAAUGUACUUGCGAAGCACCUUACAGCCAAAUCCAGAAGAAACAGAUUUACUGCUUGGAGUGACGUAUAUAUUUAGGGGUGGGUUGAAAAGUGAAGAGGUGAUAAAUGUUGCUCAACAUGGUGCCAAGAACCAGUGAAUCAAAGACACAGAACCAACAAUCAGACGCGGCUGUGGUCGGCCAGAGUAAGACCUAUGGAGACAUGAGGUGGAGCAGCACCCUCACUUUCAUCAAGGGAUCGUUUUCCAGCCCUCGCGUCGCUACCCGGGGUUUGUGUUACGUGCCUCAUAAAAGUAGCUCUUGUUUCACCAUCACCCCGCUUUGUCUGGGUACCCAGCUAAUCUGUCAAGCUGAGCUCGCAGGCAAAUUCUUCGGCAGCGAAACAGAAACUGUUAUAAACUCUCUGGACGGGGUUUUUGGGCUGCUUUGUUUUGACAUCAGAUGGCCGAAAUGACCUGUCGGCGUUGACCGUCGGGCUCUUCGAGGACUCCUUUGACCUUCGGUGUUGAUCUCUGGUCAUUGUCUGUCUCUCUCCUCUCGUCUUUCUUUCCUUCUCUAUAACCAAAUCUGCACCUUUGUAGUGCAUUGUGGAUCCACAACUUGUCUUUCGUUUUUGUUUUUGCCAAAUUUUUUGACAGGUUGGUGCGACCCAGUGAGAGAAAGGUCACAGAAAACUACGCCGAGGAACGGAAGGACUUCAUAACAUGCUCUGAACGGCUACAUUCUCUCACUGAGACGACUUGAAUGGAAACCUGUGUACUGUCCUUCAAACUCUAGCGGUGACAGUCUUUUGAUCCUGCGGCACUUUGAACUCAUUGUCAGCUGCGCCGCUUUCCCUCGCUGAGACUCUGUCUUGUACGCAAAUAUACUGGCACAUGAACGUAAAGUAGUUAGGAUUGUGUUGCUGUAGAGUCUGAGUGGCGUAGUUUGGAUUUGUUGAAGGGUUUGACUCAGUAUUACAUAGACGAUGAUCAUUACAUGUCUCUCCUCUCACACUAUGUUUUCACAAUCUCUGACAAACUACCAGCAGUAGUUUGAGAGCAAACACGCAGCAGAGUCUUGAGUUGUGUGAUACUUUCUUAUGUGCAGAACAAUUAAAUAUAAAAUGCAAAAACUUGUAAAACAAGAUGAGACUAGCAAUUAGUGGAAUGGCAAUGUUGUAUUGAAUGUACACUAUUGUUUAAAAGUUUGGGUUCGGGCAUGUUUCUUAAUGUUUUUCCUUCAGAAAAAAAAAAAAAAAACUUGCACUCAUUUGCAUAUCCAAGUAACUUGUCCAAUCAAAUGCCCUCUAGCAGAAUGAGAAUGCCCCUCCCCUCUAUGACUGCCUGCCUCUGAUGAGAAAAUAUUAAAUCAUGUUCAUGACUGUGAUAUAAACUAAAGUAUAUUGGCUACAA